CUAAAGUUGUUGACGUAUAAAACGGAGACACAUUUAUUCGAUUCGUCACAUCACCAACGAUUGUUUUACAAGUAACAAUAAUCCGCUGUAUUCCCAGUAAAGAAGAAAAAGGACUCUGGAUUCGCUGUAACAACGAUGGGCUCAUUCAAAGUUGCGAUGCUCCUUGCGGUAUUGGUGGCCGUGUCUUUCACCAUGGAGGCAGCUGCUAAUCCCAUUGCGACCGCCCAGGAUUUGGGAAUUGCGGCCGAAAUGAGCGGACUGACGAGCCCCGUAGAGACGGCCAUCUCUCAUGAUUUGAAUGUUGCUGAGCACAAGAAGAAGAAGUACAGAGGAGGUGGAGGAGGUGGUGGCGGUUCCAGCGAAGAAGGUCGUUAAUAAGAAUUAGGAGAAAAAAGGGGAAAUUCCAGGGCGUUGGCAACAGAAGUUCAAGGAGAGUGCCUAAUGCGGUCACCAGAGACAGCGCUUUGAUUACUUUUCAAAAAUCAUUUAGACGUAUACAUAAAUACCUAUAUCGUGUUAUCCACUCAUUUCACAUGCUGCGAUGAAAUCAGAUUUAUUCAAUAAAAGAUAUAUCCGUACGAAAAACAA